ACAGUGUGAGUCCUACAAUGCUCCAUUUAAUGGAUGUUAUUUAGGUUGAAAGAUUUCCAGCUGUUGUGUUUAAAUCUGAUGGAAAUGACCCUGGGAGCAGAGGGAGAAUCUCUGCUGGGGUGAAACUGCUUGGCUGUCCACUGCCAGUGAAGCACUCUGAGCUGAGAUGGGGAAUCAUUCAGAAGACUUUGAUCUCGGAUGACACUUCACUCCUACAAACCUGCCAGCAAGUCAUGGCAGUCUCUGCCUGAGUCAAGCUUAUGGCUUGCUCUGGUGCUGCCUACCUCUUGAGCAUCCUGCGUAACCUCAUCAGUGGCCCGUGAUGCAGUGCCCACCCAUGAGUCACGCAGUAAAGC